UACGUAGGGGGCAAGCGUUGUCCGGAAUUAUUGGGCGUAAAGAGCUCGUAGGCGGUCUGUCGCGUCGAUCGUGAAAACUUGGGGCUUAACCCUGAGCUUGCGGUCGAUACGGGCAUGACUGGAGUUCGGCAGGGGAGACUGGAAUUCCUGGUGUAGCGGUGAAAUGCGCAGAUAUCAGGAGGAACACCGGUGGCGAAGGCGGUUCUCUGGGCAUGUCCUGACGCUGAGGAGCGAAAGUGUGGGGAGCGAACAGG
rnacentral:rRNA from 1 species